GCAACUCACUGUACUUUGGUACCGGACUACCUGAAUUUCUAAUUCAGUGACGGAAGGUCGCUGGGUGCAGUCAAGUAUUUUGCGUAGUCAGUUGUGAGUCAAGAUAGAAUUGACCCCUCCUGAAAACAGAAGAUAAUGUCUUGUGAUUAAUUUAGCAAAACCUUGGCCAGGAUAAUCCCAGUGAGGAGUCACAGGAUAUCUAAAGUUAAUCACAUAAUGGAUGUACUAAUUAUAGGGUUGACAGUGAGCUCUAAGUCAUCCUGGCAUUAGGAGUCAAAGGGAUUGAAUUAUACAGUAACCAUAGUUCAGGGUUCCAGAAUAUUUGCUUCGCAUAUAUUCAGCCUAUCCGGACGUCGGGUACCAUUGCUAGAUGGUCACAUCGAUUAGUGUAGAAAUUGUUCCUAUACUACCGGCUUAGGUUCGAACCUAUGAGGUCACACGCAUAGAAGAUUCCUGAUUGAUCAAGAAAGCUGAUGAAUGAUUAAGAAUUAUUCGGGGAUAAUUUGGUCAAUUUAAUUGUCAAAUUAUCUUAUAAAAUAAUUAAAGUAAUUAUUGAAGGAUUAAUUAGUAAUUAAAUUACUAAUAAACUCAAUUUGAUUGAGUAAUUGUGCUAAGAAUGAGCCAA
rnacentral:lncRNA from 1 species